UGGGGAAUUUUCCGCAAUGGGCGAAAGCCUGACGGAGCAAUACCGCGUGAGGGAGGAAGGCUCUUGGGUCGUAAACCUCUUUUCUCAAGGAAGAAAAAAAUGACGGUACUUGAGGAAUCAGCAUCGGCUAACUCCGUGCCAGCAGCCGCGGUAAUACGGAGGAUGCAAGCGUUAUCCGGAAUGAUUGGGCGUAAAGCGUCCGCAGGUGGCACUUCAAGUCGAUUGUCAAAUCGCCCAGCUUAACUGGGCAAAGGCAGUGGAAACUGGGGAGCUAGAGAGCAAUAGGGGUAGAGGGAAUUCCCGGUGUAGCGGUGAAAUGCGUAGAGAUCGGGAAGAACACCAGUGGCGAAAGCGCUCUACUAGGUUGCAUCUGACACUGAGGGACGAAAGCUAGGGGAGCGAAUGGG
rnacentral:rRNA from 1 species